rnacentral:rRNA from 1 species
AAAGUCCCCUUCGGGGGAUAAGUAAAGUGGCGCACGGGUGAGUAACACGUAGGUAAUCUACCUUCGGGUGGGGAAUAACCCAGGGAAACUUGGGCUAACACCGCAUAAUGCAGCGGCACCACAUGGUGACAGUUGUUAAAGCGGGGGAUUUUAGGACCUCGCGCCUGAAGAGGAGCCUGCGGCGGAUUAGCUAGUUGGUGAGGUAACGGCUCACCAAGGUAACGAUCCGUAGCCGGCCUGAGAGGGCGGUCGGCCACACUGACACUGACAUACGGGUCAGACUCCUACGGGAGGCAGCAGUCGGGAAUUUUGGGCAAUGGGCGAAAGCCUGACCCAGCAACGCCGCGUGAAGGAUGAAAUCCCUCGGGAUGUAAACUUCGCAAGAAUAGGAAGAAUUAGUAGGGGUUAAUACCCCCUAUGAUGACGGUACUAUUUGUAAGCUCCGGCUAACUCCGUGCCAGCAGCCGCGGUAAUACGGGGGGAGCAAGCGUUGUUCGGAUUUACUGGGCGUAAAGGGCGCGUAGGCGGUCAGCACAAGUCAGUUGUGAAAUCUCCGGGCUUAACUCGGAAAGGUCAACUGAUACAGUGCGACUAGAGUGCGGAAGGGGCAACUGGAAUUCUCGGUGUAGCGGUGAAAUGCGUAGAUAUCGAGAGGAACACCUGCGGCGAAGGCGGGUUGCUGGGCCGACACUGACGCUGAUGCGCGAAAGCCAGGGGAGCGAACGGGAUUAGAUACCCCGGUAGUCCUGGCCUUAAACGAUGGAUGCUUGGUGUCUGGGGUUUUAUAGUCCCCGGGUGCCGCANCUAACGCGUUAAGCAUCCCGCCUGGGGAGUACGGUCGCAAGACUGAAACUC